AGUGAACGCUGGCGGCAGGCCUAACACAUGCAAGUCGAGCGGCAGCGUGUCCUGCGGGCUGCCGGCGAGCGGCGGACGGGUGAGGAAUGCAUCGGAAUCUGCCCUGUCGUGGGGGAUAACCUAGGGAAACUUAGGCUAAUACCGCAUACGACCCACGGGUGAAAGCGGGGGAUCGCAAGACCUCGCGCGCUAGGAUGAGCCGAUGACCGAUUAGCUAGUUGGCGGGGUAAAGGCCCACCAAGGCGACGAUCGGUAGCUGGUCUGAGAGGAUGAUCAGCCACACUGGGACUGAGACACGGCCCAGACUCCUACGGGAGGCAGCAGUGGGGAAUAUUGGACAAUGGGCGCAAGCCUGAUCCAGCCAUGCCGCGUGGGUGAAGAAGGCCUUCGGGUUGUAAAGCCCUUGUGUCCGGGAAGAAAGCGUCUGGGCUAAUACCCCGGGCGGAUGACGGUACCGGAAGAAUAAGCACCGGCUAACUUCGUG
rnacentral:rRNA from 1 species